AUCUUGUUACAAUGCAGAUUCUAAUUUAGUAGGUCUAGGCUGGGCCUGAGAUUCUGCAUUUCUAACAAGUUCCCAGGUGGCGCC
rnacentral:miRNA from 1 species